rnacentral:rRNA from 1 species
AUGGCCGAAUGCUUCAAUAGGGUGCUCAAAGGUGCACGUGGAUUACCCGUGACGGAAAUAGUUCAAUACACAUUUGACAAGAUGAAUGCGCACUUUGUAAAGUACUCGAUGGAAACCGAUGCACAGAUAGCGGGUGAGAACCCACGGAAGUACAAGUACAAGUUCCCACCCAAAGUUGAUGAAUGGUUGGUAUUUCAAUCACGGAAGGCGGACUCAGAAGAAGCUAUAUUAUAUGACAACGAAGAGUGGAAGUACGAAGUGAAAGAGCCAGGAGGAACCACAAACGAUGGGCGGCAACAUGGAGGUCGGGCUUUCAAGGUGUCGUUAACACAAUGUGAUUGCAAUUGCGGGAGGCCAUUGUUGCUUCAUCUCCCAUGCUCACAUUUGUAUGCCGCCGGUCGCGUUAGGAAUGUGGACAUCAAUCACCCACGCACCGUGAGGGAGUCGGAGUUCUCAAUCAUGACGGUCAAGAAAACAUGGGCUCCCCGCUUUCACCCAUACUUUGACCAAUCACAAUGGCCGGAGUAUCAUGGAGUUCAACUAUGGCCGGAUCCGGAGUUGAAGGUUGUUAAACGGGGUAGACGUAAGACAAAGCGUCUUAGAGGCGACAUGGACGGAUGGGGCCAUGGUGGGCGCCGCGAAGCAGGCAACGACCAAUUCCAAGAGCCUCGUGAGAGCUCCCGUUGUGGGGAGUGCAAAGGUCAUGGCCACAACAAAAGAAAAUGUACGAAACCAAGGAAAAGGUCCAAGAAAAAUGAUGCAAGCACAAGCCAACAAGGAGCUACAUAA